rnacentral:rRNA from 1 species
CAUUGCCCUACACGACCGUACCGCAAACCGACACUGGUGCGCGAGAUGAGUAUUCUAAGGCGCUUGAGAGAACUCAGGAGAAGGAACUCGGCAAAUUGACACCGUAACUUCGGAAGAAGGUGUGCCUUUAGUAGGUGAACCUGUACAAGGGGAGCCCAAUGAGGUUGCAAAAAAUCGGUGGCUGCGACUGUUUAAUAAAAACACAGCACUCUGCAAACACGAAAGUGGACGUAUAGGGUGUGACGCCUGCCCGGUGCUGGAAGAUUAAAUGAUGGGGUGCAAGCUCUUGAUUGAAGUCCCAGUAAACGGCGGCCGUAACAAUAACGGUCCUAAGGUAGCGAAAUUCCUUGUCGGGUAAGUUCCGACCUGCACGAAUGGCGUAACGAUGGCCACACUGUCUCCUCCUGAGACUCAGCGAAGUUGAAAUGUUUGUGAUGAUGCAAUCUCCCCGCGGAAAGACGGAAAGACCCCAUGAACCUUUACUGUAGCUUUGUAUUGGACUUUGAACAGAUCUGUGUAGGAUAGGUGGGAGGCUUUGAAGUGUGGUCGCUAGAUCGCAUGGAGCCAACGUUGAAAUACCACCCUGGUGUGUUUGAGGUUCUAACCUAGGCCCGUAAUCCGGGUCGGGGACAGUGCAUGGUAGGCAGUUUGACUGGGGCGGUCUCCUCCCAAAGCGUAACGGAGGAGUUCGAAGGUACGCUAGGUACGGUCGGACAUCGUGCUAAUAGUGCAAUGGCAUAAGCGUGCUUAACUGCGAGACUGACAAGUCGAGCAGAUGCGAAAGCAGGACAUAGUGAUCCGGUGGUUCUGUAUGGAAGGGCCAUCGCUCAACGGAUAAAAGGUACUCUGGGGAUAACAGGCUGAUACCGCCCAAGAGUUCAUAUCGACGGCGGUGUUUGGCACCUCGAUGUCGGCUCAUCUCAUCCUGGGGCUGUAGCCGGUCCCAAGGGUAUGGCUGUUCGCCAUUUAAAGAGGUACGUGAGCUGGGUUUAAAACGUCGUGAGACAGUUUGGUCCCUAUCUUCCGUGGGCGCUGCAGAUUUGAGGAAGCCUGCUCCUAGUACGAGAGGACCGGAGUGGACACACCUCUGGUGUAUCGGUUGUCACGCCAGUGGCAUUGCCGAGUAGCUAUGUGUGGAAGAGAUAACCGCUGAAAGCAUCUAAGCGGGAAACUCGUUUCAAGAUGAGAUCUGCCGGGGCCUUGAGCCCCCUAAAGAGUCGUUCAAGACCAGGACGUUGAUAGGUCGGGUGUGGAAGCGCAGUAAUGCGUUAAGCUAACCGAUACUAAUUGCUCGUGCGGCUUGAUCA